AUUUCGUGAUGAGGGAACUUCCAUAAUUAUUUUUUGUACCUUUCCCAUACCUUAUACAAGGACACAUCAUCUAUUUGUUGGAAAGUAGUAAUCUCGUUCCUUAACUU
rfam:Gossypium raimondii chromosome 8, whole genome shotgun sequence.